rnacentral:rRNA from 1 species
UACGUAGGGUGCAAGCGUUGUCCGGAAUUAUUGGGCGUAAAGAGCUCGUAGGCGGUUUGUCGCGUCUGCUGUGAAAUCCCGAGGCUCAACCCCGGGCCUGCAGUCGAUACGGGCAGACUAGAGUGCGGUAGGGGAGACUGGAAUUCCUGGUGUAGCGGUGAAAUGCGCAGAUAUCAGGAGGAACACCGGUGGCGAAGGCGGGUCUCUGGGCCGUAACUGACGCUGAGGAGCGAAAGCGUGGGGAGCGAACAGG